UGGGGAAUAUUGCACAAUGGGCGCAAGCCUGAUGCAGCCAUGCCGCGGGUAUGAAGAAGGCCUUCGGGUUGUAAAGUACUUUCAGUCGGGAGGAAGGUGUCAAGGUUAAUAACCUUGGCAAUUGACGUUACCGACAGAAGAAGCACCGGCUAACUCCGUGCCAGCAGCCGCGGUAAUACGGAGGGUGCAAGCGUUAAUCGGAAUUACUGGGCGUAAAGCGCACGCAGGCGGUUGAUUGAGUCAGAUGUGAAAUCCCCGGGCUUAACCCGGGAAUUGCAUCUGAUACUGGUCAGCUAGAGUCUUGUAGAGGGGGGUAGAAUUCCAUGUGUAGCGGUGAAAUGCGUAGAGAUGUGGAGGAAUACCGGUGGCGAAGGCGGCCCCCUGGACAAAGACUGACGCUCAGGUGCGAAAGCGUGGGGAGCAAACAGG
rnacentral:rRNA from 1 species